GCUACAGGCUGUAGGUGCUUGGGGCACUCUUGGAGUUGCUCUUGGAUCCCUUGAACAAUGGGGUUUGGCCCAGGAGGGCAAUUUGUGCUGCUUUGUGGCAGAGGAGAACUUCCCAGGCUAUUUUGUGUUUGCUGUGGGGAAGGUUGGUUAUUGCUUUGCAUAAAGUCACAGACCAGCAUGGAGCGUUUGCUUUGUGAUGUCAGGGCAUGGUUGCCACGUCACAGUGGUGACAUGAGAAGGUUGCCUUGGUGCACGGAAGGCCUCAGUGUCAGAGCAGCCCUAGGGCUUGCUCAGAGCAGGAGCACCCUGCGCCUUGAGGCAUUUGUCAGUGGGCAGCUGCACACUGACAGGAGCCUUGUUUGUUCUAGUGUUGGAGCACAGCGUGCAAACUUGCACGGCAGUGCUACAAUGAUUCAGCAGCUUGCUGCUGCAGUGGUUACUGCCUAUGGAGUUACUUAUUCCAGCUAUUUUCUGACUCACCUGGCACGUCACAUAAAACAUGUAUUCAGCGGAGCUGCUCCUGAGUGCCUGAGAGGACUGGAUUUUCUUCACUCAAACCACAUGAUCCACCGAGGUCUGAAGAGCUGCAACAUCCUUCUUGGAACCAACGGCUCUGUCAAGCUGGCUGACUUUGGCCUCUUUGCUCAGCUCACUCCUGAGCAGAGUAGACAAAGCUCCGUGGCCAGCACUUCUGGGUGGAUGGCGCCUGAAGUGGUGACAGGUCAACCAUAUGGCCCCAAAGUGGACAUAUGGUCUUUUGGAAUCAUGGGCAUUGAAAUGGUGGAACGAGAAGCUCCUUACUGGAAAGAAACUUCUGGCAUGGUAAGGAGCAAAUACUGACUGAUCCCUCUGUCUUUCUCACCUGUCCCGUGUCCUGUGCGCCACUGGACAAAAUCCCGUUGCCAAAAUCUGCUGGAACUACUUCCACCAUCCCCUCCUAAAAAUGUCCCUGCAGCACAUCAGCAUCUGCUGUAGCUUUGGUUGCAUCAGAAGGGAAGUGGCAGUUCAGAAACCUAAGCAGUUCAGACACCUAACCAGUUCAGAAACCUGCCAUUUAGGCCUCCAGCCAUGCCUGAUAUUUCUCAUUUGCUUUUUGAACAGUGUUGGAGCUCUGUCUCUGAAGGACAAAAAUUUUUCAGUGGAAUGGUUGGAUGUGUGAUAAAUAUCCUUCAAAAUGGUGGUUCAAUCAUCCGAGUUUCAAUUGUAAAGCAAAAGAAAACUGGAAAUUGAAAAGGAAGAGAAAAUGGAUAAGAAAAAAAGGAAAAGGAAGAGAAAAAAAUAAAAGAAACAGAAAAAGGAAAAGGAAAAUGAAAAGAAACAGCAAAAAGAAAAAGAAAAAGAAAAAGAAAAAGAAAAAGAAAAAGAAAAAGAAAAAGAAAAAGAAAAAGAAAAAGAAAAAGAAAAAGAAAAAGAAAAAGAAAAAGAAAAAGAAAAAGAAAAAGAGUGAAAGAGAAAAAGAAAAAGAAAAAGAAAAAGAAAGAAAAAGAAAGAGAAAAAGAGAAAGAGAAAAAGAAAAUGAAAAAGAAAAAGAAAGAGAAAGAGAAAAACAAAAACAAUGAGAAAAAAAGAGAAAGAGAAAGAGAAAGAGAAAGAGAAAGAGAAAGAGGAAGAGAAAGAGAAAGAGAAAGAGAAAGAGAAAGAGAAAGAGAAAGAGAAAAGAAAAAGAAAAAGAAAAAGAAAAAGAGAAAAGAAAGAGAAAGAGAAAGAAAAAGAGAAAGAGGAAAGGAAAGAGAAAGAGAAAAAGAGAAGGAGAGAGAAAAAGAAAGAGAAAGAGAAAAUAUGAAAGACAAAGAAAUAGAAAGUGAAAAAGAAAAAGAACGAGAAUGAGAAAAAGAAAGAGAAAGAGAAAAAGAAAGAGAAAGAGAAAAAGAAAAUGUGAAAGACAAAGUAAAAUAAAGAGAAAAA